rnacentral:rRNA from 1 species
UACGAAGGGUGCAAACGUUGCUCGGAAUUAUUGGGCGUAAAGCGCACGUAGGCGGCUUUGUAAGUCGGAUGUGAAAUCCCUCGGCUUAACCAAGGAAGUGCAUCCGAAACUACAGAGCUUGAGUACUUAAGAGGAUCGCGGAAUUCCCGGUGUAGAGGUGAAAUUCGUAGAUAUCGGGAGGAGCACCAGUGGCGAAGGCGGCGAUCUGGGAAGAUACUGACGCUGAGGUGACGAAAGCGUGGGGGAGCAAACAGG